rnacentral:rRNA from 2 species
UUCGCGGCCCUUAUCAGCUUGUUGGUGGGGUAAUGGCCUACCAAGGCGACGACGGGUAGCCGGCCUGAGAGGGCGACCGGCCACACUGGGACUGAGACACGGCCCAGACUCCUACGGGAGGCAGCAGUGGGGAAUAUUGCACAAUGGGCGAAAGCCUGAUGCAGCGACGCCGCGUGAGGGAUGACGGCCUUCGGGUUGUAAACCUCUUUCAGCAGGGAAGAAGCGAAAGUGACGGUACCUGCAGAAGAAGCGCCGGCUAACUACGUGCCAGCAGCCGCGGUAAUACGUAGGGCGCAAGCGUUGUCCGGAAUUAUUGGGCGUAAAGAGCUCGUAGGCGGCUUGUCGCGUCGGAUGUGAAAGCCCGGGGCUUAACCCCGGGUCUGCAUUCGAUACGGGCAGGCUAGAGUGUGGUAGGGGAGAUCGGAAUUCCUGGUGUAGCGGUGAAAUGCGCAGAUAUCAGGAGGAACACCGGUGGCGAAGGCGGAUCUCUGGGCCAUUACUGACGCUGAGGAGCGAAAGCGUGGGGAGCGAACAGGAUUAGAUACCCUGGUAGUCCACGCCGUAAACGUUGGGAACUAGGUGUUGGCGACAUUCCACGUCGUCGGUGCCGCAGCUAACGCAUUAAGUUCCCCGCCUGGGGGAGUACGGAA